rnacentral:rRNA from 1 species
AUUGAACGCUGGCGGCAUGCCUUACACAUGCAAGUCGAACGGCAGCGCGGGGGCAACCCUGGCGGCGAGUGGCGAACGGGUGAGUAAUAUAUCGGAACGUACCCAAGAGUGGGGGAUAACGUAGCGAAAGUUACGCUAAUACCGCAUACGAUCUAAGGAUGAAAGUGGGGGACCGCAAGGCCUCACGCUCCUGGAGCGGCCGAUAUCUGAUUAGCUAGUUGGUGGGGUAAAGGCCUACCAAGGCAUCGAUCAGUAGCUGGCCUGAGAGGACGACCAGCCACACUGGGACUGAGACACGGCCCAGACUCCUACGGGAGGCAGCAGUGGGGAAUUUUGGACAAUGGGGGGCAACCCUGAUCCAGCAAUGCCGCGUGAGUGAAGAAGGCC